GCCUCAUUGGUAUAGUCGCAGAGUGUCUGUCUUGUAAAAAGAAGGUCUCUGGUUCGAUUCCAGCAUGGGGCA